rnacentral:rRNA from 1 species
CUACGGGUGGCAGCAGUGGGGAAUAUUGGACAAUGGGCGAAAGCCUGAUCCAGCCAUGCCGCGUGUGUGAAGAAGGCCUUCGGGUUGUAAAGCACUUUCAGUGGGGAAGAAAGCCUUGGGGCUAAUACCCUCGAGGAAGGACAUCACCCACAGAAGAAGCACCGGCUAACUCCGUGCCAGCAGCCGCGGUAAUACGGAGGGGUGCGAGCGUUAAUCGGAAUUACUGGGCGUAAAGCGCGCGUAGGCGGUCUGAUAAGCCGGUUGUGAAAGCCCCGGGCUCAACCUGGGAACGGCAUCCGGAACUGUCAGGCUAGAGUGCAGGAGAGGAAGGUAGAAGUCCCGGUGUAGCGGUGAAAUGCGUAGAGAUCGGGAGGAAUACCAGUGGCGAAGGCGGCCUUCUGGACUGACACUGACGCUGAGGUGCGAAAGCGUGGGUAGCAAACAGGAUUACAUACCGAGUAGUC